rnacentral:lncRNA from 1 species
GAGAUUAGAAAUAAACCCUUGGCUCUUUGAUUUCUGAGUGACUCACACAGAAAACCUGACGUUUUGCCAUUGAUGUUUUUAGACGUUCUAUUGUGGCGGCUGGAAAUGAGAAAAACACACCAGACAGCAACACGGGCCACAAAAGGAGGGUAGAACCAAAAAUGCAUCUUUUCAGGAAGUGAUGGACAAACUCCAGAGGUUAAAUCAGGAGAUAAGCCGAGCUGUCUAACUAGGACGAUAACUCCGCAGCGCACGUCAUCUGAGGGAAGCAAUCAAAAGCCCUCCGGCUCAACUCGACGCCGCCGCCAUCCCUCGCUCACCUUCAGCUGCUGUUUUGUUCUUCAUUCAUGUCGGGCCUUCCUCCGCCGGCCCGUUUGACUGACAGAACAACCCUGAUUGAUAGCGUGCUUGCAAUUGAAAGGAGCCGAUCGAAAUGAAGUGCAGCUGUAACGCGAUAACAUCAGACUGAACCUGCAGCACACAAACCGGAUUACACGAGGACUUCAUGAAGCAUAUUUAACGGCUAAUGUCCGUCCAGUAAAUGGCGGAAAUUGUGAAUUACCAUAACGGAG